rnacentral:rRNA from 1 species
AUUGAACGCUGGCGGAAUGCUUUACACAUGCAAGUCGAACGGCAGCACGGGGGCAACCCUGGUGGCGAGUGGCGAACGGGUGAGUAAUACAUCGGAACGUGCCCAAUCGUGGGGGAUAACUACGCGAAAGCGUAGCUAAUACCGCAUACGAUCUACGGAUGAAAGCGGGGGAUCGCAAGACCUCGCGCGAAUGGAGCGGCCGAUGGCAGAUUAGGUAGUUGGUGGGGUAAAGGCNCACCAAGCCGUCGAUCUGUAGCUGGUCUGAGAGGACGACCAGCCACACUGGGACUGAGACACGGCCCAGACUCCUACGGGAGGCAGCAGUGGGGAAUUUUGGACAAUGGGCGCAAGCCUGAUCCAGCCAUUCCGCGUGCAGGAUGAAGGCCCUCGGGUUGUAAACUGCUUUUGUACGGAGCGAAAAGCGCUGAGCUAAUACCUCGGCGUCAUGACGGUACCGUAAGAAUAAGCACC